AGAAGGGAAGGGAGAGAGAUUGCAUUUAAAAUGGGGUAGUAAUGAAGAGAUCUCCAUCUAAUUAGACAGGCUGCAGUUUUAAUCAGAGUUUCCUUGGCAAAACCUGUUUGCAUGUUUUCUGUCAUUCAGCCAACAUGUUAAUUAGGCAAAUAAUAUUAAUAAUGAUAUUCGCUUCAGGAAACUUAAAAGGGGUGGGAAAAGGUGGAAGUGACAGUUUGGGGUUGGCAGGCAGGCAUAGGAGGGGUUUAAGUCCGUGCGGUGUGAGGGAGCAGAAGGCAGCGGGUCUGGAAAGGGGUGCAUCUGGGUGAAGAGCCCAGCUCUUCCCUACUGUUGGCGCUCCUGCUCUCCUCUGAGCCUCAGUUUCCUGAUCUGUACUCCAGGAGUGAUGCCACGAGGCCAUCCUCACAAGCUCUGGGAGGAUUAGAGGGGACGUGGACACAGGAAGUGGCCCUUCCUGCUCUCUGCUCUUCACCACCCACCUCCCCUUGCUCCUGGGGCUGCCUUGCCUCAGCAGAGAGGAGGGCACGGGUAGGAUGGGAAAGUGGGGGCAUCCGCAUCCUGGGCCCCACCUCUCUAAGAGUCCCUUACAGGGAGCCCCUCUGUGGACAGUGGCCAGUGGUCCCCAGCUCAGUCUGGGCGCCAGCUCCCCUUUUAGAUAGUGGAGCUCCAGGGCUUGGAACAGGGGUCUCCUGCAGGUCCCUCUGCUUCUACCUCAGGUUCCCCAGACCCCACUGGUACCCCAGGUCAGAGGACUCUCCCAGGCAUUAGGAACCAGGCCUCACUGCACACCCUCCAGCCUGGUUUCUCAGGGGAGCCCUUCUUUUCUCUCCUGCUCCCACAAAGCCAGAGGCCAAAGCCAAACCUCUGUGGUUCCCUGCUUGGGCCACCUGGGCCAAGAUUGUGCACAGCAAUGAGGCCAUCAUUUGGGGGAAUCUAAGAGGCCCCACAAAAUGUGUUCAGCACUCUAAAUAAUACUGCAAGCAAUGCAUUUACAAAGUAAAAGGAACAUAGGAUUUUUUUUUUUUUUGCAAUAAAUUGGCCUUCAAGAAUAUUCCUUCAGGACAUCAUUUAUCCUGAUUGCUGAACUGAAGCACCCUUAGGGUUUGCCCCUGAGACCAGUUCCCCACUCACCUCACUCCUGUCUGGUUCUGCUCCUCAACUUGGGCUCUUGAGGCCCUCCUUGACCAGUUCAGGGUCCCCUGCACCAUGAACACCCUCAAGCACCCUCAGGGACCCCUGUGAACAGGCUGUCCUGCACAGGCAGGACACCCUGAGGCCACGAAGAGGAGACUCCUUCCCCUUUGAACUCCCGUUGCAGCCUCUCCUCCAGGGCCAUGUCCUGGAGGCAGCUCUCUGUUGAAAGGAGGUGAAGAGGUGAACUUUGGGGUGCAAGGAACCCUGGGCCAUGAAGGUUGGUUUCCCCUCAGACCAGAGCUGCCCCGAGGAUGGAGCCAACCCUCCUGCACGGCCUCAGACAUGGGCUCAGGGCCCAGACGCCUCAAACACCAGUGAUGCUCCGGCCCCAUAGGCCGCCUGGGCUGGGACGCACUGUGACAGCUGCUCACCCCCUGAUGCUGCCAGCCGGCCCAUCAGGUCCCCUUCCCUUUGGGUUAGGAUCCUUCUGGCUCCACACUUACUUAGGUGGCCAUUUGUGCCCUUCUUGGGCACACUGCAGUCCUGCCUUGGCCUUGGGAUGCUGAAUCUGUGGCCACAUGAAGCCAGCUGGAGGACUCCCCAAGGCCCCUCUCCAGGAUGUGUGGCAGGUCCUCCUGAACCAACACUGUGUCUUCUGGUGGCCACAUUGAGGCCAGGCCACAUCAGCCAGUGCCCGUCAUUUAAUCCUCCCAGCGAGCUCAAAUGGGGCUCACAACCCCAUGUUACAGUGGAGAAAACUGAAGCUCAGAGCCACAAAAGUCACCCACGCUUUCUCAGGUGAGCCAUCCAAGAGGGACAGAGAGUGGGGACAUGACAUCAUUCCCUACCAUCCUUCCAGCAGGGACCCGUGGUGUCUGAGCUGGUGUGGGUUCAUUUUUGAUCAUGUGACACACAACAGUUGUCAUGCUGCCCCUUCUAUGGACCAAGAACCUGUGGCUCAGAGAGGUAUUGUAAAUGAUCAAGGUACAGCUCUCCCAGGCCUGCCCCUCUGCAUUCUGGGCCAGGGGAACCAGCUGUUGUGGCCCUUGCGGGCUACCAUCCACUGUUGCAGAGCAUGGACAGCACUGGCUCUAAUGCCCUGGCUGUGGCGUGGUGGGGCUGGCACCUCUUCUGUUAAUGCCUCCUGCUGGCCCUGGAAAACCCCAACCCUUCCUUGUAGUUUAUCUGCAGGGAGAGGCUGCUGUGCUCUUUGAAGUGCAGCCAGAAGGACAUGGCCGGUGUCCUCUUGGCUGAGGUCAGACGCACUGUGCACCUCCCAGUCAGUCAUGAACAAGGUGAUUAUGAGCUAAUAACUUCUAGUUCAGAGCCCCAGUGAGUCCUGACCGGGAAUAACCCCGAAGGUGGCCCAAGGAAAGCGUGGGCGCCGGGACAGCUCUGCUCUGCAGCAACAGGGAGGGAUUCGGUGUUGUGGCACAGUGCCUGCGCCUCUCUUGGCCUGCAGUCAUUAAUCAGGUGGCCAGACACAGCCUCGAUUGCUGAAGGCGCAAAGUCAUGGCCCCUCCAAGGUCAUUCAAGUGUGCCCAGGACAUACUCACUGAGGAGACAACAUCUGACCAAAGACCCAUGAGAGUGAAGCAACACCCCGAUCUGGAAGAAGAGUGUUCUAGGCAAAACAGCCAGUGCAAAGGGCUUGGGGUCAGAAACAUGCCUGGCUUGUGGCUGGGGUGGGGAAGUAGCUGCCUAGUGUGCACAGUGGUACCUUGUCCUCAGCAACAGUGCCCUACCAGGGCCACAUGGUAUCUGGUUUGAGCCCCCUACCCCCCCCCCCCGCUGUGAACAGGAAUCAUUCCCUAUGGUUGGCACUCCCAUUCUCCACCCUCAGGAACUGAGGGCCAGAGGGUGAGGGGCCCAGAGGCCCGCAGCACGGGUGGGAGAGCCAGGUGAGCCAUUCUCUGGCGCCGAGGCCAGACUCUCUCGCUGCUUCUCUUCUCCCUUUCCUGCCUCUCCCUCCCCUCCUCCACCUUGUCUCCUUCCUCUCUCCUUCCCUUCGCUCCUCUCUUUUCAUUUUUCUGUCCUUCUGGAGCACCAGAUCCCCUGCCCUAACUCCAGCAUUGUCCCCUGGAGCCCGCCCGCCAGAUGUGGUCACCCCAUUUUGAAGCUCCCAGCAUCAACUCCUUGAGCAACCCUAACCCUAUUUCCUUUACACACUGCCAGCCUCAACGGCAAGGUUAGGUCAACAGAAAACAGAAUAAGACACCAUGGAAAUGCUUCAUUGUUUGCUUAGGAGACAAAGAACAGGCAGAAGUUAUUAUAAGAGACUUCAAAGAACACCCCCAAAUUGAUCAACCUUACCAAUAACUAUGGAAAAGAAAAAGGAAAUAAUAAAAAGAUGCUUUCAUCAAUGUGUCUGGAAAAGAGUUAUCAGACUCAUAAAAUAUUGGGAAGGGGGAAAAGAAGUGAGACCAAAUCUAUUUUGAGAGGCACAUUGGCCAAAGAGGAUAGCUGUAAAAUAUUCAUGUCUUCCAUCCAGCAACUCUACCUCUGUGCACUGCCACAUCUGUUGCAAACAUAUUUGUUGGUGUGUUGUUUGCGACUGUUGAAAAUUAGGCAAUUCCUAAGUGUUGAUUGAUGUAGAAUUUGUUAAAUUAAUUAAAUGGAGUAUUACAGAGUUGUGAAAAAGAAUAGGAUAUUUUUCUGUCAAGUGGCAUAAAACAAGGGUAAGAUACUGUUCAUUUGGGGAAAUGUCACAAAAUAGUGUGUAUGGAACAGCUAUACUUUUAUUUCAAAAUAUAUACUUAUUUUUAUUUACUUAUGUGCUGACUUCACACCUGAAUUUAAGCCCAGCAGGC